rnacentral:rRNA from 1 species
AUUGAACGCUGGCGGAAUGCUUUACACAUGCAAGUCGAACGGCAGCACGGACUUCGGUCUGGUGGCGAGUGGCGAACGGGUGAGUAAUACAUCGGAACGUGCCCAAUCGUGGGGGAUAACGUAGCGAAAGCUACGCUAAUACCGCAUACGAUCGAAGGAUGAAAGCGGGGGAUCGCAAGACCUCGCGCGAAUGGAGCGGCCGAUGGCAGAUUAGGUAGUUGGUAGGGUAAAGGCCUACCAAGCCGACGAUCUGUAGCUGGUCUGAGAGGAUGAUCAGCCACACUGGGACUGAGACACGGCCCAGACUCCUACGGGAGGCAGCAGUGGGGAAUUUUGGACAAUGGACGCAAGUCUGAUCCAGCCAUUCCGCGUGCAGGAUGAAGGCCCUCGGGUUGUAAACUGCUUUUGUACAGAACGAAAAGGCUCUGGUUAAUACCUGGGGCUCAUGACGGUACUGUAAGAAUAAGCACCGGCUAACUACGUGCCAGCCGCCGCGGUAA